UGACUCUUCAUCAUAAGGAAAAUCUUCUCGACAUGAUUAAGACACUUCUCCGCUCUUUCAUGUCCUUCAUUACCCAUGAAAUGAUUCAGCUUCAAAUUAUACACAGUCUCAAAAGGUGUCAUUUGAGGAGGACGGAGCGAAGACUGAAUGGCAUUAGCUAUAGCUUCCCCUAACUAAGCAAUAUCGGGGAAACUAGGCUCAGCUGAGUGACGUGGCUCUCUACGAGGCUGCAUAGUUCUGAUAGAAGACAUCACAAUGAUUAGAUUAUUCACAAGAUAUACAGGACUGCUAAACCUAGGGGCUGAUACCAAACUGACACACCCGACUUAAAAUCAAGGUGUGCUGGUCGUCACGUGAGGGUGACGUAGCCAUGUGCACAGUGCGGAAGCAAUAAGGAUAUGAAAUAUACGAAUAAAUAAGAACCGAAAGCUAAUUAAUGUACACUAAUAAGCAGAAACUGCUAGGAAUGAGAUACAAGUGUAAAUACACCUAAUCAGAGCAUAGAAGUUAAUGUGCAGUCCAGUAGGAAGAAGUACUACGAAUAUUAUACUUUGU
rnacentral:lncRNA from 1 species